rnacentral:rRNA from 1 species
GGUGCCAGCAGCCGCGGUAAUUCCAGCUCCAAUAGCGUAUAUUAAACUUGUUGCAGUUAAAAAGCUCGUAGUUGAAUUUUAGCGUGUUCGAGUUUGCCAAGACUUGCCCUCCUU